rnacentral:rRNA from 1 species
UAUUGCACAAUGGGGGAAACCCUGAUGCAGCGACGCCGCGUGAGUGAAGAAGGAUUUCGGUAUGUAAAGCUCUAUCAGCAGGAAAGAAAAUGACGGUACCUGACUAAGAAGCCCCGGCUAACUACGUGCCAGCAGCCGCGGUAAUACGUAGGGGGCAAGCGUUAUCCGGAUUUACUGGGUGUAAAGGGAGCGUAGACGGUGAAGCAAGUCUGAAGUGAAAGGCGGGGGCUCAACCCCCGGACUGCUUUGGAAACUGUUUGACUGGAGUGCAGGAGAGGUAAGUGGAAUUCCUAGUGUAGCGGUGAAAUGCGCAGAUAUUAGGAGGAACACCAGUGGCGAAGGCGGCUUACUGGACUGUAACUGACGUUGAGGCUCGAAAGCGUGGGGAGCAAACAGG